GUCUUUUUGAUUAUAAUUUAAAGUCUGACCUGCCCUAUGAAUUAUUUUUAAAUGGCUGCGGUAUUUUGACCGUACAAAGGUAGCAUAAUAAUUAGUUUUUUAAUUGGGAACUGGUAUGAAUGGUCGAACGAGAAAAAGACUGUCUCAAUUUAAGUUUAAUUAGAAUUUUAUAUUUAAGUUAAAAAGCUUAAAUAAAUUUAAAAGACGAGAAGACCCUAUAGAGUUUUAUAUAAUUUUGGUUGUUUAAAAGUUUAAGAAUAGUAAAUUUAAAUAAUUAUGUUUAUAUUUGGUUGGGGCGAUUAAAAAAUUUAAAUAACUUUUUUUAUUUAAUUACAUUGAUAUAUGUUUAAAUGAUCCAUACUUUAUGAUUAUAAGAUUAAAUUACCUUAGGGAUAACAGCGUAAUUUUUUUUUAGAGUUCUUAUCGAAAAAAAAGUUUGCGA
rnacentral:rRNA from 1 species